rnacentral:rRNA from 1 species
GUGCCAGCAGCCGCGGUAAUACGUAGGUGGCAAGCGUUGUCCGGAUUUACUGGGCGUAAAGGAUGUGUAGGCGGAUAUUUAAGUGAGAUGUGAAAUCCUCGGGCUUAACUUGGGGGCUGCAUUUCAAACUGGAUGUCUGGAGUGCAGGAGAGGAAGGCAGAAUUCCUAGUGUAGCGGUAAAAUGCGUAGAGAUUAGGAAGAAUACCAGUGGCGAAGGCGGCGUUCUGGACUUUAACUGACGCUGAGGCAUGAAAG